rnacentral:rRNA from 1 species
UACGAAGGGGGCUAGCGUUGCUCGGAAUGACUGGGCGUAAAGGGCGCGUAGGCGGCGGCCAAAGUCAGACGUGAAAUUCCUGGGCUCAACCUGGGGGCUGCGUUUGAUACUUGGUUGCUUGAGUGGGGAAGAGGGUCGUGGAAUUCCCAGUGUAGAGGUGAAAUUCGUAGAUAUUGGGAAGAACACCGGUGGCGAAGGCGGCGACCUGGUCCUUGACUGACGCUGAGGCGCGAAAGCGUGGGGAGCAAACAGG